AAGUCGAGCGAGAAAGCUCCUUCGGGAGUGAGUACAGCGGCGAACGGGUGAGCAACGCGUGAGAAUUUACCCUUUAGUGAAGAAUACCUCCGAGAAAUCGGGGCUAAUACUGCAUAAGUCUCUACGGAGAGAAAGGUGGCCUCUUUGCUACCGCUGAAGGAUAAGCUUGCGUACUAUUAGCUAGUUGGUGAGGUAAUGGCUCACCAAGGCGAUGAUGGUUAACCGGCCUGAGAGGGUGUACGGUCACACUGGAACUUAGACACGGUCCAGACUCCUACGGGAGGCAGCAGUGAGGAAUCUUGCGCAAUGGGCGAAAGCCUGACGCAGCGACGCCGCGUGGAGGAUGAAGGUUUUCGGAUUGUAAACUCCUGUUAAGUGGGAAGAAAUGCCUAUUUCUAAUACAAAUGGGCGCUGACGGUACCACUAGAGAAAGCACCGGCUAACUUCGUGCCAGCAGCCGCGGUAAUACGAGGGGUGCAAGCGUUAUUCGGAUUUAUUGGGCGUAAAGGGUGUGCA
rnacentral:rRNA from 1 species